rnacentral:lncRNA from 1 species
GCUUUGACCAGUAUGGCACCCUAUUCCCUAUAAAGUACACUAGCUUUGGCCAGUAUGGCACCCUAUUCCCUAUAAAGCACACUAGCUUUGACCAGUAUGGCACUAUAUAAGGAAAAAGUUGCUAUUUUUGGAUGUAUUCAAUGUUUUCACCAGUAAUGCAACUCAGUAGAAAUCACAAUCACACAGGAAUUAGACACUAGUAUAAUUUGGGAUCCCAAGUGGCGCAGUGAUCUAAGGCACUGCAUCUCAGUGCUAGAGGCGUCACUACAGACACCAUGGUUCGAAUCCAGGCUGUAUCACAACCGGCUGUGAUUGGGAGUCCCAUAGGGCGGCGUACAAUUUGCCCAGCGUGGUCCGGGUUUGGCCGGUGUAGGCCGUCAUUUGUAAAUAAGAAUUUGUUCUCACAUGGACUUGCCCAGUUAAAUAAAUAAAGGUUCAAUAACAAUAAAUAAAACAGUAACCUGAAAACAACCUGAACAUGACGUCUGUGUCUGAAAUGGCACCCUCUACAGUGCACUAGCUUUGACCAGCUACCAUAGGGGUUUAUUCUGAACUAGUGCACUACAUAGGGAGUAGGGUGCCAUACUGGUCAGAACUACUGCACUACAUAGGGAUUAAGGCUCCAAUACUGGUCAAAACUAGUGCACUACAUAGGGAUUAAGGGUUCAAUACUGGUCAAAACUAGUGCACUACAUAGGGAUUAAGGCUCCAAUACUGGUCAAAACUACUGCACUACAUAGGGAUUAAGGGUUUAAUACUGGUCAAAACUAGUGCACUACAUAGGGAUUAGGGUGCCAUACUGGUCAGAACUACUGCACUACAUAGGGAUUAAGGCUCCAAUACUGGUCAAAACUAGUGAACUACAUAGGGAUUAAGGGUCCAAUACUGGUCAAAACUAGUGCACUACAUAGGGAUUAAUUAAGGGUGCCAUACUGGUCAAAACUAGUGCACUACAUAGGGAUUAAGGGUCCAAUACUGGUCAAAACUAGUGCACUACAUAGGGAUUAAGGGUUCAAUACUGGUCAAAACUACUGCACUACAUAGGGAUUAAGGCUCCAAUACUGGUCAAAACUAGUGAACUACAUAGGGAUUAAGGGUUCAAUACUGGUCAAAACUAGUGCACUACAUAGGGAUUAGGGUGCCAUACUGGUCAAAACUAGUGCACUACAUAGGGAUUAAGGCUCCAAUACUGGUCAGAACUAGUGCACUACAUAGGGAUUAAGGCUCCAAUACUGGUCAAAACUAGUGCACUACAUAGGGAUUAGGGUGCCAUACUGGUCAGAACUACUGCACUACAUAGGGAUUAAGGCUCCAAUACUGGUCAAAACUAGUGCACUACAUAGGGAUUAGGGGUCCAAUACUGGUCAAAACUAGUGCACUACAUAGGGAUUAAGGGUCCAAUACUGGUCAAAACUAGUGCACUACAUAGGGAUUAAUUAAGGGUGCCAUUCUGGUCAAAACUAGUGCACUACAUAGGGAUUAGGGGUGCCGUACUGGUCAAAACUAGUGCACUACAUAGGGAUUAGGGUGCCAUUUUGAAUACAACCAAUGUAACAACACACCAUGUGUUUAUUAGUAGUCAUCGCUGUAGGAACCUCUGUUCUCGUUAUUCCUCCAAGAGGAACUGUUCGUUUAAGAUGACACGCUCUAGUCUGAUCCCAGGUCUGUUUCUGAUCUCUUGACAACUACAUUGGUGUCCUUGUUAUGACAAUUCCAUAGGCUGACUGGCACCCAGGCUGGCACCCAGGCUAAACUUACUGGCACCCAGGCUAAACUGACUGGCACCCAGGCUAAACAGACUGACACCCAGGCUAAACUGACUGGCACCCAGGCUAAACUGACUGGCACCCAGGCUAAACAGACUGGCACCCAGGCUAAACUGACUGGCACCCAGGCUAAACAGACUGGCACCCAGGCUAAACUGACUGGCACCCAGGCUAAACUGACUGGCACCCAGGCUAAACAGACUGGCACCCAGGCUAAACACACCUUCCACUCUCUCCUUCUACAACAUAUCUUUCUCCAUCCACCUCGUGGAAGGUGAUACAAUGACGAUGACUAACUUGUGUGGUGAAUUAUGAAGUGUAUGAAAUUACAAUUGUCUGCACACAUGACAUGUACAUUACUAUGAAAAAUAAAACAUCAGCUAAAUGUCAUAUAUUAUUGUCUUAGUCAUUGUUUACAAUGAGAUGUUGUAUUUCCUGUUUCCUUCA